rnacentral:rRNA from 1 species
ACGCUGGCGGCGUGCUUAACACAUGCAAGUCGAACGAAGAGCGAUGGAAGCUUGCUUCUAUCAAUCUUAGUGGCGAACGGGUGAGUAACGCGUAAUCAACCUGCCCUUCAGAGGGGGACAACAGUUGGAAACGACUGCUAAUACCGCAUACGAUCCAAUCUCGGCAUCGAGGAUGGAUGAAAGGUGGCCUCUAUUUAUAAGCUAUCACUGAAGGAGGGGAUUGCGUCUGAUUAGCUAGUUGGAGGGGUAACGGCCCACCAAGGCGAUGAUCAGUAGCCGGUCUGAGAGGAUGAACGGCCACAUUGGGACUGAGACACGGCCCAGACCCCUACGGGAGGCAGCAGUGGGGAAUCUUCCGCAAUGGACGAAAGUCUGACGGAGCAACGCCGCGUGAGUGAUGACGGCCUUCGGGUUGUAAAGCUCUGUUAAUCGGGACGAAAGGCCUUCUUGCGAAUAGUUAGAAGGAUUGACGGUACCGGAAUAGAAAGCCACGGCUAACUACGUGCCAGCAGCCGCGGUAAUACGUAGGUGGCAAGCGUUGUCCGGAAUUAUUGGGCGUAAAGCGCGCGCAGGCGGAUUGGUCAGUCUGUCUUAAAAGUUCGGGGCUUAACCCCGUGAUGGGAUGGAAACUGCCAAUCUAGAGUAUCGGAGAGGAAAGUGGAAUUCCUAGUGUAGCGGUGAAAUGCGUAGAUAUUAGGAAGAACACCAGUGGCGAAGGCGACUUUCUGGACGAAAACUGACGCUGAGGCGCGAAAGCCAGGGGAGCGAACGGGAUUAGAUACCCCGGUAGUCCUGGCCGUAAACGAUGGGUACUAGGUGUAGGAGGUAUCGACCCCUUCUGUGCCGGAGUUAACGCAAUAAGUACCCCGCCUGGGGAGUACGACCGCAAGGUUGAAACUCAAAGGAAUUGACGGGGGCC